GGCCACAUUAAUUUGAAACACCAGUUCACAUAUGAUCACUGAAGUUAAGCAACAUUGAGCCUGUUUAGUAUCUAGAUGGGUAACUGCUUGGGAAUACCAGGAGCU